GGGGAAAACAAGGAAACAAAACCCCGGCCAGCGGCAAGAGCCCCCGCACCCUCCCGAGCGGCGGUACCUGUCCGGCAGCGGGGCGGCCGGCGCGGCACUUUCCCCCGUUAGAUAAAUUCUGGUAUUUGAAGCUUCAAUCAAUCCUUUUGAGACUACUUGUGCAUUGUUGCAGGACACCGUCUGGGAUUUGAGCAGCAUAACUCACUCCUACACCAUCAUUCUCCAAGCAACUGAAGUUAAUACAGAUUAGAUAGCUACAUUAGCCUACUCAAUAUCAUUUGUUUCAGCGUUGGAUUUAGUGUUUCCUGUGUUGUAAUAACUGCAGUCAUCUACAAGAUUGCAAUGCAGCUACAGAACGACUGCAGAAGGAGCAAGAAGACGAUGACCUAGGUUCUGCAGGGGAACUGCAAGCCGUGACUUACUGAAAAAAUUGAACUUUGCAGGCUGUUCUGUGUGGGCAAUAGAUUGUACCAGGGGCACCACUGAGGCCUGUGCAGGCCAGUGUCAGCAUCAAAUAACUUGCAGGAUCAACACACACCAGAGGAAGAGCUGUGUAACUAAUAACACUGAGGUGAAACUGAAACUGAGACAAAUACCAUACUACCAAAUACAGAAGAAAGCAAUGUCAAAGGAAAACACUUCCUCAGCUGUCUGAAAUGAUCGCAGACUUUUCAUCAAAAGACAUGGAGGAAAACCAAUACAGAGAAAGCACUAAAGAGAGAGUAUCACACUGUGUACUGAAUGAAAGAGGGGGUAGGGCAAAUAAUAAA